AAAAAAUGUACUUGAAGGCAUUCCAUUGCUAGAGAAUAGGGCAGAACUAUCAUUGUAGGUUCUACCUUGCAGGAAAAAUGCAGGUUGUUGUGGAGUUGGUAACUCAAUUGAAUGACUGCUAAGAUAAGAAGCAAUUGUCAAGAUUGAAGGUCUAGCCUCUGGAUCAUUUUGAACACAUAAUAGACCAAUCUGAAUGCACUUAAUGACUUCAGUUUUAGAAAAAUCUCCUUUAAUAUUUGGGUCCAAUAUAUUUAAAGGUGUUUUAUCCAUCCACUGUCUCCACACCUGAAAAUAUAUAACAUUUGGUCUAAGCUAUGAGAUUAUUAGGCAAAACCAGCUUUAAAUCUAAAAUUGGAUCGAAAAGUAUGUAAAGUUUGAUCAAAAAUUAUUUCAACUAAGAAGUAAUGAAAAGAUACUAUUGCUAUAUAAUUACACUCACAGAAUUCAAGAGGCUAUUAGCAACAUGUUGUGGUUCAUAUGAACUUAUAUUCUUCUUUCCAGCUACNUCUACCUUGCAGGAAAAAUGCAGGUUGUUGUGGAGUUGGUAACUCAAUUGAAUGACUGCUAAGAUAAGAAGCAAUUGUCAAGAUUGAAGGUCUAGCCUCUGGAUCAUUUUGAACACAUAAUAGACCAAUCUGAAUGCACUUAAUGACUUCAGUUUUAGAAAAAUCUCCUUUAAUAUUUGGGUCCAAUAUAUUUAAAGGUGUUUUAUCCAUCCACUGUCUCCACACCUGAAAAUAUAUAACAUUUGGUCUAAGCUAUGAGAUUAUUAGGCAAAACCAGCUUUAAAUCUAAAAUUGGAUCGAAAAGUAUGUAAAGUUUGAUCAAAAAUUAUUUCAACUAAGAAGUAAUGAAAAGAUACUAUUGCUAUAUAAUUACACUCACAGAAUUCAAGAGGCUAUUAGCAACAUGUUGUGGUUCAUAUGAACUUAUAUUCUUCUUUCCAGCUACAAUCUCUAGGAUCAUGACUCCAAAACUAUAAACAUCUGAUUUUUCAGAAAAUUGUCAAAACAUUGCAUAUUCUGGAGACAUAUAACCACUGUACAAAAAAAUGAAAUUUGACGUUAAUUUAACUUGAAUUUACCGUAAUCAAUAAGAACCUGAAAAAGAUAAUAGAGUAGUGAACAUUUGAAACUUACUAUGUUCCAACAAUUCUAUUUGUACUUCCUUCCUCUUGACUUAUUUCGACCAUCCGUGCCAAACCAAAAUCUGAAAUUUUAGGAAUCAUAUUUUCAUCUAAUAGAAUAUUACUAGGUUUGAGAUCGCGAUGUAUAACUUUGAGUCGAGAAUGCUCAUGCAAAUAAAGAAUUCCUCGAGCAAUUCCUCCAAUGAUGUUAAAGCGUUCAACCCAAGUUAACAACUUUUGCUGAUGAGAAUCUACAAAAUUGUUCAUAAAAUAAAAUCAAGUCCAUAUAUAGAAAAACUAUAUAUGUAAUGUAUGAAUCUUAAUAUUGACAAAUGAAAGAGUUUUAGGUGAAAAGUGUCAUACCAAAUAAAAAGUAAUCAAGACUCUUGUUGGAAACAUAUUCAUAAAUAAGUAUCUUCUCAUGUCCUUCAAGACAAAAGCCAAUAAAAGUCACUAGAUUUCUAUGUUGAAGCUUGGCUAUCAAUAAAAUUUCAUUCUUGAACUCCUCUACACCUUGCUUAGAACUUCUUGAAAGCCUCUUUAUAGCUACUUCUCGUCCAUCAGAAAGGAUAGCCUAAUUAUAUGUUAAAAAAGAGUUGUGUUAUUUGAAGAUCCAUUUAUUUGAUAAUUUGAGACAACAAAAAAUUUACGAAUAAAAUGAGGUAUUGGCACAAAAACUAAAACAAUAGUGAGAAAAGGUAAAACAUAAUGUGAGUAUAAAAGAGAAAGUUAUCAUAAAAAUUAUUAAAAAAUGGUUUUGUCCAAAUAUCAUUUCUCAUUAAAAGAAAUAAGAAUUCCUUUACUUUUGAACAAAAUUUUCAAUUACCAUAGAGUAAAGAUAAGAGUAAUUUACUAGAAAAAUGCAUGAACAAUACUAAAAACAAUUUUGGACUUUCUAAAAAAAUGUUUAAUCUACUUUUAAUAUUUAUUUGAGUGAAACAUUAAUUUAGUCACUGUCUUUAUAAGUGAUUUUCAAAAUAGUCACUGACUCUAUUAAUAUUUUAAAAUAAACUCUGUCUUUAUCAAAAGUUUCUCAAUUAAGUCCAUGUUGCUAAGUUUUAUUCACAUGACAAGAAACUUAAUUGAGAGACUUUUGACAAAAAUAAAAGCUAUUUUAAAAUAUUAAUUGAGUCAGAGACUAAUUUGAGAUUCACUUACAAAGAUAAUGACCAAUUUUAUAGUUUACUCCUUUAUUUUUUUAAAACUUUCUUAAUGUCUUGCUUAUCUUAUUGGUGUGGAAAUAUAAAAACAAGAAAUAUCAUAUAAGUAAACAGACACUAAGCCUUCUCUUAUGUUCUCACCUUGAAAACCUCUCCAAACCCUCCUUUGCCAAUGUAAUUGUCCUUAGAAAAGUUGUUUGUUGCUGCUUCAAUUACCAUCCAAUCGAAUUGCAGUGGCUCUAAAGUGGCACUUUCUUCACCAACUAGAUAAAAUUUAUUUGAUGUUGGUAUUAAACUUGUUAAAGUUUAUAAGAAAUUGCUUUUUUAUUCUUCCAUAAAUAAUACUUACAAUUUUCUCGAAGAAUGGUCCUACGACUCUUUCUUCUCCUUCUCUUUAUCAAAUAGUAGCCAAUAGUGAAGAGCAUCACCAAAAUAAUAGUAGGGACAACAAUGGAUAUAAUUGUCCUUUUCUCUGCACAAAAGCAUAAAUAUUUAUAGGGAUUUGUAGCACCAACUCGUUUUUAUUAAGGUGUGUUUUAGCAAAGAUAUAACUAAAAUGUUGUUAAAUACACCUUAAGAUGAAUGUUGUUAAAAUAUAAUUUCUAAAAAAUAAGUGGGUGUAUGUUACCAACUCUUAUAAACAUUUGCUAGAAUACAUCUACUUAUUUUUUAUAAGGUGUAUUUUAACAAGUUAUAACUAAAAAGUAGUUAAAUACACCUUAAGAUGUAGCUUGCUAAAACACUUCCACAUAUAACUUUAAUAAAUGCGUUCCAGCAAAUCUCAUAUUUAUAAAUGUCAUAGUUUACAUGUAGAACUAAGCAAUAAGUUUCUUAUAAUAAAAAAUCAGUAUAUUGUACCCCAUCCAUUUAUAGAAUUGUUUACCCUUUAAAAAGAAAGUCAAGACAACAUUCAAUUUAUGUACUUGUAUGCAGUUGCUUUCAAAGAAAAAGAAUAUACUUUCAUAACAAGGAAAAUUUUAUCGUACAUCUAAUAUAUUUGAGUGUAUCGAUACAUCAAACUUAAAAAUUUAUAGUUAAAUAAGUUGUGUUUUGAAGAAAACUAUUAUUUUUUAUCAUUUAUAAUUAUAAUGAUUAAAUUUUAUUCACAAAAAACAUUAACGAAAUAAAAUUGAAUUUUCAUCGCUCAUAAUAGAGAACUUUGAUUAUUUUAUAUGAUAAUAUGUUAAAAAUUUACUAUGAUUUUUAUAAACAAUGAAUGAUAUAUUUUUCUUAUGAAAUGAUAUUUUGUAAAAUAUAAAUGCCGACAAAUAACUAUUUAUUUCAUAAAAUUGAUCGUUAAUUUAUAGAUUUAGGAAGUAAGAGUACCGGUACACCAGAAUUUAUGAGUGUACCGUAGAAGUUCCCUUAAAACAAUUGGUCAAGCUUCAUUAUUUUUUUCCAUUUACAAGUAAAGCUUCGUAUCCAAAGGGAAAUGCUAACUUGUAUCUUUAAGAUACAAGUUACCAUUUUUAGAAACUUUUAUUUAUUGGAAUUCAUGCAUUAAACUUAAUUUUUUAACUUUUAAUUAAUUGAAUGCACAAAUCUUAAAGAAAUAUUUUUAUUUUUUGAUUGCUUAAUAUGUGCCUUUAGGGCACAAGUUAGCAUGACCGACCAAUAUAAACCGAGUUGGCUUGACCCUUGACCUUUGAGUUUGCUCUCAAAUUAGAUUCUCUGGGGCCAAUUUCAUUAUUUCUUCUUCAAAAAAGAUUGAGCUGAUUUAUGAACUUACAACUGUAAAGUGGAUAACUCACUUUAGUUAAAGCAUAAAGUAAGAAAUAGCAAGUUCAAAGAAAAAUAAUGAUCUGUAUUUUAGCACGUUCAUAUUCAGGAUUGAAAUAUCAAUAUAUGAUUUUCUCACUUUAGAUGAAUCUAAUCAUACUUGAAUAAAGAGUUCACCUGUAUGUCUUGCAAAUGUUGUAGGACUUCCAGGCGGUAGAGCUUCGUCGCCGUCCAUAUAAAAUUUGAACAAUUCAAACCUCAGAUUGCAGCUAGGAUAUAUGAUUCUUCCUCCAACACUUCCCAAAAAUGACCAUGGAAUUUCUCUACUGAUCAUAUCAUUUAGACAUGAAUUGCAAUCCUGACUAGACAAAUCUUUUGUACAUUGUUCAAGAGUAUACAAAGUUUGUUUAUCAUUCAAAAUUAAUGAAUUUUUCGCAUAUUUUUCCUCGUUGUUCCCCGUAACAUUGACAAGUUCAGAUAAUUGAUUUGAUAAUGCAUUUGUGAACAAGUUUUGGUCCGGGAUGGAACCAUUUGUAAUAUUUAUAUCGCGGAACAUAGGCCCUGUUUCAAUGCUGUGAAUGAAAUACCUAUUCGAAUAGCGAAGCAGGCAAUGGCUGUACCAAAUUAUACCCUCUGGGAAGGAAUGACACUUUGAGUAUAGUUGUUCCGUUGCAUUUUUGACGCAUUGAACACAAAGGCGAGGCGGAAGAUCACCUCGACACAUGAAGAGACCAUACGCAAUUUCUUCCACUUUAAGCCAAUAAAAUUUUUUGCCGAUGGUGGCGUUCGACAACAAAUAAGACAGAAGUAGUUUGAUGUUUUUGUCAGUGAUUGUAUUGUAAUUUCUUGAGCAAUUAUAGGAAAGAUAAAAUGGAUCUUCUGAAAGUAUUUUAGAAUCUUGUAUGGAAUCAUUUGUUUGAGGAGCAAGCUCAUUUGGGGAAAGAACAUAAGUAGACCUAUAAAAUGGAUAUAAUUCAUACCUAACAUUACAGCUAGGAUAAAGAAAUCUCCCACCAACCUUUCCAACACAGCUUUGUGAAAGUGUCUCAAUAGCACUAGUGAGACAGGUUCUGCAAUCAUUAGGCGACAAAUCCAGCGUGCACUGAGCUAGACUGUAAAGGGUCUGAUUUUCCGAAACUCGUGCUUCUUUUGUUGCAAACUUGUUCUUGUCACCACUAAGCGGACUUGCUGCUUCGUCUGCAGUUCGAUUCAUGGUUGAAAACAAUAAAGACACGAAGCUUUUCGUGUUUAAGAUUUCAGCGGUAUUGCACCAGUGAAAACCUGGCAUCAUAUCGAUCGUGGAAAAGAAAGAGUUGUCAGAGAAUCGAACCAUGCACUCGCCGUACCAAAUCACAGCUUGUUUGGACAAAGAGCACUCUGAGGAUAGCUGAUUGGUUGCCUUAACUAUGCAGUCAUGACAUAGAUGAGAGGGUAUGUCACCUCUACACAUGAACAAUCCAUAGACGGAUACGGACGAAUUUAUACUAGUGACUGUGGUGUUGUAGAAUUUGGUGUUGCCUAUGGCUUUUGAUGACAAUGAAUUGAAGAGGUUUAUGAGAUUGCUUUGGAAGGUGCUGCUUGGUUUGGUAACGUUGAUGGGACAAAUUGUAUUCAGAAAUAAUGGAGAGUCUUGUGCCAUUGUUGCAGAAGAGAGGAAUCUAACAAGGAUAAGGAUAGAUAAAAGGUGAAUUGUAGAGUAAGCCAUGGAAUUUCUUUUUUAAUGAAUCUCCAUUGUUUGAUUUGCAAUGAUAUGUAAACAGUCAUAGACACAAUUUUAUAAAGCUUUUUAUAAAGGUGAACACUAUAGCUGGUGUUUUGGUGGGAACCUUCCUUUUUGGUUGGGACCUAGGCAUUAUCAUUUUUCUAAAAUUGGUUUAAAGUUUUCAUGCUUUGGUCAGAGCAUACUUUUUUGAAAAGAAAAAAAAAUUAAGGUUUUUCUAGAAAUGUAUUUAGCUAAAUAUGUAAUAAAAAAAUCUUGCAUGUCUAUUACUCCAAUCUACUUAAACUUGCAAUUUUUUUGUUAGUAAUUUAAGUUCAUUAACCUCGUUAAUUAGUUGCAUAUUAUGUAACCAAAAAAUUAGUUUCAUAUUUAAAUUUAUUAUUAUAAACUAUCAAUGAAAUAUGACAUCAACGUGGUGGAGGGAGAUUGCUAAAAUCCGUGAUAGGGUGGGUGGUGUUGGAGGUAAUUGGUUUGAGGUGAGUGUCUCGAAAAAGGUUGGAAACGGGUUGCAUUCUUAUUUUUGGUAUGACCCGUGGUUAGGAGGGACUCCUUUGUGUGUGUGGUUUAGGCAUUUAUUUGACUUGGCUAAGAAUAAGUUGAAUACGGUGGCUGAUAUGUUUUCCUGGGUUAGCGUGUGGGGGUGAGGCGUGGAAGUGGCGUAGGAGGUUGUGGGAGGAUGAGUUGUUAGUGGAGUGCAGGACGUUACUUCAUGACAUUGUUUCGCAGACUCAUUUAUCAGAUCAAAGGGAAUGGCAGCCCGAAUUUGUUCGAGGUUAUUCAGUUCGCGGAUUUUAUCAGCUAUUAAACUUCUAAGGAUUUGAUAUCUUUGGACAUGGCGGUGGAUCUAGUUUGGCACAUAUAGGUUCCUUUGAAGGUCUCCAUUUUUCCACGGCGACUACUUCAUGACAGAUUACCUUCAAAAUCCAACUUGGGAGCUUGCGACAUUAUCCCUUUAGAUGCUCAGUAUUGUGUGACUGGGUGUGGAGGUGUUGAAUCAACUCAUCAUUAAUUUAUAUCUUGCAGAUCAUUCGGCUCUCUUUGGCCCUUAGUUUGGUCGUGGAUUGGGUUUUUGGCAGCAGAUCCAUAGUCUCUUUUGGAUCACUUUAUUCAAUUUGUGUAUGCAACACAUGGUUUAAAAGUGCGGCCCUCAUUUUUAUAGCUCAUAUGGCUUCUUUGUGUUUGAGUGUUGUGGAAAGAACGAAACAAUACAUAGAACCUUCAAUUAUUCCGAGAGUUCUAUUCCACAGCUAUGAGAGAAAAUAAAACAUUAUUCUUAUUGGUGGAUGAAGGGAAUGAAUGUGAAUUUUGUCUUUGGCUAUCAUUGUUAGCAUUCGAACCCUUUUACUUGUUUAGGCAUAAGAUGAAUGUCUUUUUUGGCUUCUUUUUGUGAUUGACUUUGUUGUAAACUUUAGUGGUAUUUUUUGGUACUCCUUAUCCUACAAAGAUCACAUUGUUCAUGUUAAUACAUUCUAUUUUUGCUUGUUCAAAAAAAGAAAUAUGACAUUAUACAUUUGAGUGGCAUCGGCUCAAGGGUAAGAGUUUUCCUUUCCAACUUCAAAGUACAAAGUUCAUAUGACAUUGUAUAUAUUUAGAAUUUCUAAAAUGUCAUAUUAAAUAUUAAAAUGAAUUUUAAUCUCAUAGGUUUAUUAGUUUAUUAGUCAAUUCAAAUAUAUGUCAUAUUGCUUACUUAAAUACGUUCAAAUGAAAUGCUUUUUAAUAAGCUAACAUCCCAUACAAAACUUUUUCCUUUUAAAAAGGUUAGACUUAAACUGAAAAAUAAGUCUUUAUCAAGUCACCGACUAUGCCUAAACUUAAUUUUUAUCUUUUACCAAAUUAAACUCGAACCUUAUAAAGUUUAACUCCAUCAAACCUAUUCGCAGUGGUACCCAACAAACCUACAUGGUAUCAAUGAAUUUUUCUUAUAUAAGUUAAAUCUUUGACUUUUUUUUUCUUUCCAUCCUAUUGAUUUCUUGCGCGUCCUAUGUAGUUCGGAUUGUAUAAUCCAAACGGCAUAAAUAUCUUAUAAAAACUUAAAAAAUAUGUUAAAAUAUUUCGGAUUUUAAAAUGCGAAUAGAACGUGCGAGAAACUGAUAAGUGAAAAAAGUAAUAGCCAAAAUCUUUUCAUAAAGGAUUUUUCUACGGUGCCUCCUUUUUCAUAAAAGUAAUACCAUUUUAAGUAUUUUCCAUCAUUCAUAGAAGUAUUUUACGAAUUUUUUUUAAUGAUAUUUAGAUUUUCAUUAAUAUUUUAAAAAAAUUAGUAUACGGUUCAAGGACCGACGAAUCAGGAGGAAGGAUUUUCAAACUAAGACUGAAUGGAUAUUUUGGAUUUGAAGUCUCCAUUGCGUCGAAUUUUCUCUCUUCCUUUGAUUCUGUGUAUCUGUUUGGAUCUUUUCGUUUUAUGAGCAUCUUUUUGAAUAAAGUUUUUCCAAGGUUGUGGACCAUAUGCAAUGUGGAAUGCUUCUUUAUGUCAAUCAUCUUUCAAUAUUGACCUUAUCUUCAAGUGUGUAUCACAUGUGGUUUGAUAAACACAUGGAACGUUGAAUUAUACUUUACAUUAUCAAGUUUUACUCCCUCCAUAUUUUCGUUUGAAGUUUGAUUUUAUAUUCCUAUUGGUUUUUUUAUUUUUAUUUUGAAUGUUAUUUAUUUGUCUAUUUUAAAGUAUUAUAUGAUAUAAUUUGUUCAUAAUUAUAUGAUGAAAGUUUUUUGAAAGAAAAGAUGCUUAUAGAAUUUCAUUAAUAAUAUUACUAGAAUAAGCUACCGUGAGAUUGAUUCUAUAACAAAAAAAAUAGUAUAUGUGGCAGAGUUAGAUACAAGAAAAACGUAGUUUACCUCACUCAAAUAUCCUCCAUUUUGCACACUUGCAUCGCAAAAGGACACUAAAUAAUAAUAAGAGCAAGACACACAUGUGUUGGCAAACAACCCAUAUACAUUAUCCAAAUAAGGUUCUUCACCAUGGGAGGAAAUUUUAAACGACAGAUGCUGGACCAAAACCCCAGGCGCCUCAAAUGAGUCGUAUCAACCAAAUUGUCAACACAUGACUUGUACGCACUUCAGACAAAUACAAACCAUUUUUCUCAGCUUUCCAAACCAACUGGUCAUUAGGAACAUGAUUAAACAGUGCAUGUUUAGAAUAGAAGUCGCUAUGUCCUGACUGAAAACCUACUUUACUAAAUCACCAUUCAAACUUUUGGAAUUAGUAGUCCAUUAAACUAUCCACCAUAAAGUCACGAACAAAGUGAGCCCUUGUGAUAUUAGCAUCAAUACAACCAUCAUUCAAAAAUCGAGGUUCAUCAAGAAUGGAACUAGAGGUACCUGAGUCUAUACUCCAACGUGAUCCACCACGAACAAUAAAUCCAGCGUGCAAAAUACUACGCCAAACAUAGUUAGGAUUAUGGCCCAAUGUGGUAGUGAGAUAGCUUUUUGUAGGAAAGUACCUGCUUUAAAAAUACAGGAAACAAGAGAUUGCUGGUAUGAGAGAAAUUUCUAACCUAGCUUACCUAACAUGUCAGUUUUAGAAGUUGAGAGGUCUUUAAACCCCAUGCCACCAUAGUUUUUAUGCAUUGAUAGCUUCUCCCAUGACAUCCAAUUGAUACCACGACUAUUGGUGCCACAAUGCCCACACCAAUAAGAAUUGAUCAUUUUCUUUGUAGAUGUAACAAGGGUUGUUGGUAAUUAAAAGAUGAUCAUGACGUAUGUUAGAAUAGCUUGAAGAAUUGAUUUAAUUAUUACUUCCCUCCUCGUCUUAGAAAGGCACUUACUACUCCAAGAGUUAAUCUUAUCCCAGACUUGAUCAUUGAUAUAGGAGAAAGUAGCAUUCCUAUCCUGCCCUAUCAUAGAUGGCAGACCCGAAUAUUUUCUUGUGCCAAGGACAAACUGGACUCCCAAAAUGUUAGUAAUGGUCAACGUCAUGGAAUCCGACACAUUCCAACUACAAUAAAUUUCUGAUUUGGAUAAGCUAAUGGCUUUCCCCGAGGCUGUCUUAUAGGUAGUAAGAAUAUCUUUCAUUAUUUGAGCUUGGUUCACAUAAGCUUUGAAGAAUAGGAAUCAAUCAUCGACAAAGAGAAUACGAGACACUGGAGGUGCAUCUCUACAAACUUGAGUACCAUUAAUAACACCAUGAUCUUCAGCAUCUCGAAUGAGAGAGGACAACCCCUCCGCACAAAUAAUGAAAAAAUACGGGGAUAAAGGGUCUACUUGACGCAAACCUCUUCCAGGAAUAACUGGCCCCACUAAUUCAUAGUUGACCAACGCAGAGUAAUCAACCGACUUAACACACAUACUCAUUCAAUGUAUCCAUCUAUCAUUAUAACCCCUUUUCAGCAUCACCUGCUUCAAAAAUUCCCAGUCGAUACGAUCAUAUGCUAUACCUAUAUCUAGUUUCAAUGCCACACACCCCUCACAACAACAAGUCUUUGUUUUCAUGUGAUGGAUGACUUCUAUUGUAACCAUGACAUUAUCAAGAAUUGACCUCCUAGGUACAAAGGCUGACUGAUUAUCAGAGAUACACUGUGGGUGAAUAAGCUUCAAUCUAUUUGCGAGAACCUUAGAGAUCCAUUUGUAGAGAACAUUACAUAGGGCUAUUGACCGUCAAUCUUUCAUUGUAGUAUGAGAAUUACCUUUUGGGAUGAGAGCAAUGUUUGUCAGAUUAAGAGAAGCUGGAAGUUGACAUGUAUCGAACCAUGCACAACAUUGUUGAAAUAUCUCGUCACUACACAAAUUAUAGAGUUGCUAAUAAAAACCAGGAUCAUAAACCAAAACAUUCUCAAGCAAGAAAGAAAAAAACAAAACAAGAACAACAAAAACAAACCAAAGAAAAAGAGCAAAACAAGAAACGAACCAACCACAAAUCAAUCUGGUAACCUACCCUUAGAGCAGGUAUUAUGAACCUGAAAACCCUUAUGUAUUUUCUUUUUCUUAUUCUUAAAGUUUAGGGUUUAUGGUUUAGUCUGAGAUACCACCUCAGUAAAUGGCUCAUCGAUAGCAACAAAAUGGUUCUUCAAAUAAAUGAUAGUUGUUGCUAUCUCUUCCUCAAGAAAACCAAAAAUAUCAAUCAAAAUCAAUUUUAUAUUUAUAAAUUCACUUUUACCUCUCACAAAAUUAAACACUGUACACAUAGUACUCGGAUAAAACAUAUCAACCAAAAUCUGAAUUCAGCAUGUUUGGUACUAACCGUACUGAUGCCAAUAAUUAUAAAAUUGAAAUCCUAUCAAGACUGAAUAUUAAAAGAGAAAGGAACAUUGCAAGCAAGGAGAGUAAGCAUAAGUCCUUCACAUCAUCACAAUAGAAGAAACCAUUUAUACUAUGUCUUCUAAAGCAAUCUGUCAUCAAGCUACUGUUUUGCCUUGUUUUCAUCGUGCAAUCUGUUCCCAGAUUUAAAAGAAUGGUUCCUCUUAAAAAAAAUCUAUCAUUUUUUUUUUGUUAGCUUUCUUCAUUGAAGAAAGUGUAGAGACUUUGAUUUUAUAUUUUGUAACCAAAUAUAUCCUCCGCGUGCAACUAUGGAGACCAGGAUAUUUAUCCCCUCUAGAUAACAGAGAUCUAUUUAAGGGGUUAAUCUCUUUCCUUACGUCCUUGCCAUAGAUAGAACCCUGGACCAAAUGGUUGAUAGGUCCAAGUAUCUAUCACUUGUGCCAAACUCUAUUGGCUAAGUUGUGUUAAAUUUAAACGUGCAGAGAAGUUCUUAGGUGGACACUAACAUAACAUUAAAAUUAAAUCAAAAUCAAAAGAAACAAAUUGUUUCUUUCUUAUUUUGAUAAUAUAUGGGAUAAUUGUAUAAAACAGUCUUGCAUGCAUGAAGGAGGAUGCCAAUUUAUGUCCUGCUCAUGAGUCACAACUCCUACCGCUGCAGUGUCUAGCUAGCACACUGCUAUCAGGAACCUGAUCAUCAGAAUAUUUGGAUCUUAGAAUCAUAGUGAAAGCUGCAAGAAUGUAAUGUGAUUAUGAAUGUAUAGUGGUUUAACUAAUAAGGUGACUAAAGAAGUUUAUUUAAGCUUUAAAAUGAUAUAAAACUCUGCAAACUUACGUAGAGAAAAGGACAUGUAGAUAUGUUAGAUUUCAACAAAUAAUCUAUCUUGUUUUUCUUAGCUUUAUUAACUGAAUAAAAUGUUGAGACUUUGAGUUGUAUUAAAACAUAGAAAUGGCAAGGGACGAAGUAAAUAGAGUCCACUGAAAUUAGAGGAAAAUAGAGUCCACUGAAAUUUGUGAUAAAAUAUUAUAAUAAAUAUUAAGAAAAUGGUGAAGGAAGAAUAUUUCAAAACCUCAUUCUUCCAUUUUAUGUCAUCUUAAACUUCAUCAUUGUCACCGGGGAGUGAAAGUAGAGACUCUGUAUACAACACCACACGCGAUGAUCUUAGAUUCUCACGGAAGUAGUGCUGCCCUAACAACUGUCCUUUAUCAUUGUACUUCACCAAUAAAUUAACAUAGUUUGUUCCAAUGAUAUCAUAAUUUUUUGUAGAGUAUACAGGGAAAAUGUCACAACGAGGAAGAACAAGUUUCUUAUUCCAAGAGGAACGCACUUUGUAUUCUUUCAUCACCCAUAUUUUUGAUGUAUGAUUUCCAUAAUCGACAUCCAAUAGACUAAGAAAAUCUCCAAAUACCCACAAAUGACGAUGUGAAAACUGAUAGUGAAAAUCAUGAUCUGGAAGAGGGAUCUCAAAAAGUUUCCUUUCUAUUAAAUCAAAGGCAACAAUAACAAACACAGAUAAAUCAUACCGAAAAGUCAACCAAUGAAUAGCCCUAUUAAAGAAAACCCCUUGUUUGGAAUGAUCAUUAUUGGGAUUCAUAUAAGGGAAAUGAGCACCCUCAAUUUGUUUCCAGGUAUUAUCUCUCAAAGAGAAAACCUCCAAAUGUGGUAAAACGACAUUAUUGGAUAUGAUUGGGUCAUAGCCCAUUAGAACCACCAAGUAAUCAUUUCUUGACUGGUCAUAACCAAAACCAUAUAGAUUAGUAUUUACACGAUGCCUUAUGAAUUUGGAAUCAAGAGGAGACAAAGGUAUUUGUUUUUGAAGUCCAGUAGACGGGUUCCAUAUGUAGAGUCUUGAAAAACAGUGGAAAAAUAUAAAUCCUCUACAUGAACCUUUAAUAUAAGCAUGAGGAUAGGGAAUAAAAAAAUUAUUAAGGUUCACUGAAGAAGCAGAAUCUUCUGCCGAUUCAAAAUCUAUCGAUCGAAAUUGAAGAGGUGAACACAAAAUGGACAGAAUUCUUAGAGUGUGUGUUGCGGCGGCAAGAUCAAAAUGUGAAUUCGCAAAGUUGGGAUGAGAGAUGAGAGAAAACCAAGACUUACAAACACACUUGAAACGUGAGAGAGACUUUACUGGUUACCUUAGCAGGAUUUCGAUUAUCAGUUCAUGAGGCAGAUACAUAUGCGUUGUCUUCUUCUUCAUGCUUCUUCUUCCCUCUGGUACACUUCGAGUAACCCUAAUUUUAUCACCGAUGAUUGAUGCUAAGUUAUUUCUUUUUUUUUUUAUUUUUUAUGAGAGAGUAAGGUAAAACUAAAUUUAUUCUAUUCUCGUCCUAAAAAAAAAAAGGCUAAACAUACUAGUAUAUCACUACUGAUCUGUAGAAUAAUCUACAAAGUCGGUUGGGCCGUUAAUGAGCUUUAGCUAAGGUCCUAUUUUUGUUGUUGCUAAAUAAAACCACAAAGCCAUUAUAAAAUAUUAAAUAUUUUUCUUUUAAAAAAAAAACAUUAAAUAUUAUAUGAUGCCAGCUGUAUCAACAUAAAUUUGUAACAUGUACUCCCUCCGAUUUCUAAAUAUAAACAAAAUUAAUUUUUUAGAUUCAUUCAUUUAAUGAUGCAUGUGAUCCAUAUUAUGAAUCACAUAUAUCAUUAAAUGAAUGAAGCUAAAAAGUCAAUUUUACUUGUAUUUAGAAACAUAGGUAGUAUAGUAUGUUGAAGGACCAUAUUAAUCAUUUUAAUUUGUAACAUGUAUAACUAAAUAUUUUUAUAUUUUCUGAAAAUUUCUUAGAAAAUCGGAAAAAAAAUAAAGGAUAAAGGGGCCGUUUGUUACAGAUUAAAAUAUAAGUUAUUUUGACAUAAAAUAAUUUAGAGAUUAUAGUUUAGAGAUUUUAUGAAAAAUCAAGAUCUAUUUUGUGUUUGUUUACCGUAAUAAAAAUCACUUUUUUUAAACAAAUAAUGUAGUUUGUUUGGAUACAACUAUAUAAAAGGAAUUUUUUGUUACAAAAUUAGUUCAAUCUUUUAAAAAAUAUUUUCUCUCUCCUCUAAAAAAACAUCUUUUUUUUGAGAAGCUGCUCUUAACAGCUUUUUAUUUGAAGUUAUUUUAGAUUUUUUUAGUAAAAAGUUGUAACAAACGGAUGCAAAACUCAAAACAGUGUUUAUUUUUUUUAAAAUAAAUAAUUUAAGAGAGACUUUACUGGUAACGUAAGCAGGAUUUCGAUUAUCGGUUCGUGAGGCAAAUACAAAUGCGUUGUCUUCAUCAUGCUCCUUCUUCUCUGGUACCCUUCAAGUAACCCUAAUUUUAUCACGAAUGAUCGAUGCCAAGUUAUUACUUAUGAGAGAGUACCGUAAAACUAAAUUUAUUCUAUUCUCGUCCUUAAAAAAAGGUGAAACAUAGCGUCGUAAAAAAAAAGGCUAAAUAUAUUUGGGUAAGGACCAUAUUAAUCAUUUUAAAUUGUAUGUAUACUUAACAUUAUAAUAUUUUCCGAAAACAUUCUCAGAAAAUCGGAGAAAAAUAAUCAAGGAUCAAGACUCCCUUAGAAUGAACUUUUUAUAAGACUCCAUCCGUCAAAAUUCAAAAUUCUAUCCUUUAGACUCAUUUUUUAUUUUUAACUUUUUGCAGCUGUUGAAAUAUGAGAAAAUUCUUAAUGCUGCUUUUGUAUAAACUUAUUCCCGAUUAUAUAAUCCAAACAUAUUCAAAUUGUGUUCGGAUUAUAUAAUCAGAAACCUCAUGAGUGUUUUUGUAAGAAAAAAGGGAGUGUGAGAAGGUAAUAGGGUGGAAAAAGUAAUAGAUCUAUUGGUUAUAAUAUGUGCUCUAACAUGGUAGACGGACUUGAAAAAAUACGUUAAAUGGGCUUAACAGUGAAAUCUUGUUUUCCUUUCUAGCUUAUACAUACCUCACAGCUAGUAUUGGGCAUAAUCCGAUUUAUGUUUGAAGGAGCAUUCUUCGUGCUAGAUUUAUUGUACGCGGGGGUGUAAGGUGGAGUAUUGGGACAGGUGAAGCUAUUACUCUCCUUGAUGAGUCAUGUUUAUUGAAUGGUGGGUUUAUUAAAGGUAAUAUCGAAGGAGCACAUUUUGUACAAAAUUUUGUUGUCAAUAGAUUUCUAAAGAAUACUGCUAAGAGAUGGAAUGAACCCCUUAUUCGGCAAGUCUUCAGUCACGAUAUUUCUUCUGCCAUCAUAACAACAUCUUUGAUUGCACAGGUUCAGCAUGAUAGGCUAGUUUUGAAAGCAGAAAAGAAUGGGGUUUACUUUAUGCGCAGCGCGAAUAAACUUUGUGUCGAAGAGUUAAUUGAUACCUCUCUCAUUUAAGGAGUCCGGGGUAUUGGUAGGGGAUUUGGCGAAAAUACUUUUUUUUUUUUUUGAAAACUCGGUAUCCGAUCCAAGAAUCGACUAAUCCGAGGGACCAAUCCCACCGCCCACUUGCGGGGGCCCCGUUUAAAGCCAGAGCAAGCUCUGUAUGGACUUAGCCCACUGAAAUUGGCACCAUCGGGAAUCGAACCUCAGACCUCUGGAGGAGCAAACUUCAAGAUCCCAAGCCAACCACUAGGCCAACCCCAAAUGGGAAAAGGGAGUUGGUUGUUUCCGACCAUGGGAAAGAUUUUUUUGACCAUUAGAUCAAAUAAGGAACACAUUUUAAUCCUACUCUCUAAAACACUAGAUUUUUUCACACUUUCUUCUACCAUUACUCUCUCUCCUCCAUGGUCACUCACCCACCACCUCCACCAGAGCAUAACUCCAUUGUUUCUGUCCAAUCUCUCAUCAACAAUCUUCAAUUCUUCUUGAAUUGCAAGAGGGUUAAAUCAUAAAUAGUAAUUAAAUUUAUUUAUUCUCCAAAUCUAAUGAAUUUUCAAUUCAAUGAUACACUGUAAGUCUACAACAACACAAUCAAAAGUUAAUUCAAAGAGAAAAAAAUAAAAUAAUGGAUUGCAGUAUUUCAUUUUGCAUUAAGAACCCACAUAACUUUGAAAUCAGUAGUUGAUUCAUGAACUAAAAAAAUAUUGCAAGAAAAUUGGCUUGCAAUAUUAUGAAUCAUGAUGUGUUGAUCAUGAAUUCUGUCAUUCGAUGCAUCUAAUGGAUUUGUUAUUUUUUGUUUUGUUUUAACAUAGGCCUCUAGAAGGAUGAACAAUGAAACUAAUUGAGUGUUGAAACCAUGUAGUUAAAUUUGGAAAGGAUUGUAAAGCAUAAAAUGUUAUAUUCAAUGUCUUAGAGAAAUCAUUUGAUGUUGUUGUUGUUGAUGAUGAAGAUUGUUUGAUUGUGUGUAAAAUUCCAUAUCUAUGAGGAUGAAUAAAAUAUAGGUAGACCAUGAUAAGAUCAAUACACCUCUUUAAUCUAAUGGUAGAAAUUCAAAUUUCCCAUGAUGGGAAAAAACUUCUUUCUCCUAGGCUAAAUGCCAUGUCGAGGAAUUUUGCCAACUCGAGAAUGGCUACUAGACAUAGGAGUGCAAUGCCCAUCUAAUUGUGUAAGUUGUGAGUUAGCCAAUGAAGAUUUGGCGCAUAUAAUGUUUGAAUGUCCCUUCGUUGUACAACUCUUGCAUAUUACAGUCUACGACACGAUCUACAACAUGCAAUCAGCAAGGAGAUCGUGGUUGUUGAUGCAAUUUUCAACCUUCUGCGCACCUUACUGCUGAACAUAGUCAAAGAUUCGCAGCCAUCCUUUGGAGCUUAUGGAAACAUAGGAAUUUAAAGGUGUGGGAGGAUAAGAAUGAGCCUUGUGCUAUGAUUGUUGACAGAGCAUGUAACAACCCAUUUUUCCGUAAGAUAAUUUUUUAAAUUAUUAUAUGUGUUUAAUUUCUUGUUUAUGUGUUUGAUGUGGGAUUAGCGGAUUUUUAGGCGAGAAGGAUAUUUUAGUCAUUUUUAGGACUAAGGGUAUUUUGGUAAUUUGAGGAGCGAGGGUAAACUAGUAACUUUAGAAUAAAGGGUAUUCUAGUGUUUUUGUGUGAAUAACUUGAGGUAAUUAUUUUCAGAUGGUAAUUAAUGAUACUAGCAUUGAAACCCGUGCCAAGCAUGGGCUAGACUUUCGUCAAAUUUAAUAUAUUGGGUGAACAUAUGGUAUCAUGCACAUCUGUGUGGUCGCUUUGUGUUCAAUGAGUCAAUCAACACCAGUGUUGGCUCUCCCGUACGGUCCAACGUACCAUAGGCCCAUUCAACUUUGUGGGGGAAACGAUUGUUGUUCUUGGUGGUAGAUUACAGAUGCAGAAAGUCUCAUACUUGAGAUAAAGAGGUCAAUGUGUCAAGUGUUAUUUAAAGUUCCACAUUGGAUGCAAUAGUAAAUGUUGAACAAUAUAUAAGUGAUAUGACUCAUAUAUUAAUGACUUAAUGUGUGGUUUCUUUUAAUCUAACGUGAUGAUCAAACUCAAUAUAGGAUCCUCCGAAACUCACAACAUUAUGAUGUACUGUUUUUUUAGUUUUUGGAAGUUAUUUGUUUAACUUUGGGUUAAUUACAGUUUUGAUCAUCAUAUUUUCACUCACUCAUAUAAUUUGUCCCUCCAUUUCAAAAUCACAUAGUUUUGUUCCCUCUUUUAGAUUUUAUAAACUUAAAGAUGGUGAUAUGUCAUGUUUAAAUUAAAACAUAAUGAAAGUUUUCAAAUAAUUAUGUUGGUAUUGAUCAUUUUACAUCAUUGGAUUGUAUGUCAUGUUAUUUAAAAUAUGUCCAUCAUUGUUUUUCAGUCUUAAAAUAAGAUAAAGAGAUCAAAACUGAGUGAUCUUAAAAUGAACGGACCAAUUUCACGAUUUACUAUAAAUGAGGGACUAAAACUGCAAUUAAGUCUUUAAUUUUUGAAUUUUAAAUUUUAGUUUUUUGAUGCUAUUCUUUUUCUUGUGAUUUUUUCAUUUAACCUCUGUUAUUCUCUUUCUUGUGAAUUUAUAAAAUCUGAAAUUGCUGAUCAUUUGUUCCUUACCUGUCACUUUGCUACUAAUCUCUGGAAAUGGCUUAAACCUAUGAUCCAUUACUCCAUCAAUUGCAACUCCAUUCUCUCUCUGUUUGAUGUUUGUCAAAGAGGUUGGAGUUCGAAACGCAAGCUUACCAUCAUCUCAUCAAUCAUCUAUAUUCUCAAUGCUAUCUGGUCUUGCAAGAACUCUUUUAGGUUCAAAGGUGAAAAACCAAAUAUGAAAUCAACAAUAACGCAUAUUAUAGCAAAUGUAUCUAUAGCUGGCAACCUUACCAAGUUAGCUACUGGUUCUGCAUUUAGAGAUUUCACUGUGUUAAAGACUUUCAAAGUGAAUACACAUUAUCCUAAUGAACCUAAGAUCACUGAAGUCAUAUGGAGCCCUCCAAUAUUGCAUUGGAUCAAGUGCAACACUGAUGGAGCAGCUCUUGGCACCACCGGUCAAGCAGCUUGUGCAGGUAUUUUCAGAAACCGAAAUGGAGAAAGCCUUGGCUGUUUUGCAGUUAAUUUAGGGAUUGAAAAUGCUUUUUAUGUUGAGCUCAUGGGAGUGAUUUUUGUUGUUGAAUGUGCUAUUAAGAAAAGAUGGACUCAUCUCUGGAUUGAAAACGAUUCAAAAUUGGCUAACUUGGCAGUCAAGUCACAUAAUAUAGUUUCUUGGCAGAAAAAGAAUAGAUGGCUAAACUGUUUGCAUUUGAUGACUGGUUUGACCUGUAUGAUCACACACAUGUAUAGCGAAGGAAAUCAUUGUGCUGAUAAGCUAGCCAGCAUAGGGUUAACCGUUGAUGGUUUCACUUGGUGGUCUUCACCCCAUGUUAAUAUUAGAGCAGACCUUGUCAAUAAUAGACUUGGUCUCCCCUAUUGUAGGUUCUCUAAGCUUACUUUGAGGGCUUGGUUUGGUCCCCCCUCCUUUUUGUACCUCACUUUUGAUUUUAAUAUAUUUUGGAUGAGGCCGUGAUAGGCUCAUCAGUUAAAAAAAACAAAAUAUUCUUUUGGUUAAUGGUGGGAAAUGAUAAUAGAAAAUUGAAGAUGUGUUAUGUUGGGUUGAUAAAUACAUGUUUAUUACAUAUUUAAAAUUACGUGGUGUUUUUUAAUUGAAUCUAAUUUUUUUGCUAAAAUGAUUAUCCAAAAAUCUUCAACUCCUUCAACAAACUCAUAGAUUUAUCAACAACUCACAAUCUUUCUUAUACUUUCACAAACAAAACACACAAUACUUAUUUUUUUUUUCUUUUAGCUUCUCUCAUAUUCAAAUUUAUUUUUGGUAUCUUUGUUUUUCCUUCUAUUUUUUCCCCCCUUCCCAUGUACGAAAGGAACAUAAACCACUUGUAAUGAAACCAACACCAACAAAUUUUUUUAAACAUACUGUAUCUUCCUUUGAUCUUAUUUGACUAUAUCAUGUAAUUAUGAACAGGAGAGUUGCAAAUUUGAAUAAGAGGUGUUGAUGUGUCAAGUAUGAGUUAAAAAUUUAUAUUGGAUGGAAUGAUAAAUUUUGAACAACAUAUAAUUGAGAUGGAAGGAUAUAAAUUUCACUUGUGUAUUUUCUCUUGGUCUAAUGUGGUGAUAAAACUCAAGAUAGGAUCCCUUGAAAGUCCCAAAGUUAUGAUGAAUUAUUUGUUAGUUUGUGGGUCUCAUUUAUUUAAUUUUUAUAUGUUAAAUUUUAGUUAUUGGAGAUCGUUCAUUUUCAUGCUAUAUUUUUUAUUCAACCUAACUUAUUUCAAAUUCCUUCACUUUUGGUCUUUGGUAGAACUUCACAAUGGAAAAAUACAUGUGUUUUACUAAGUUGACAAAAUACAUACUUAUUUAAAAUUUUAAAUUUGAGUCUAAUUUUUGGUAUAUUAAUUACUCCAAAUUCUUCAAGAAACCCAUAAAAUUACCAGCUACGAACAAUAUUUCAUAUACUCUCACGGUCAAAGCACACACUCAUUUUUUUUUCCCUAACCAUUUCUCUCAAGUUAAAAUUUCUUUUUCAUCUUAUUUCUUUUUCUGGUUUAGUUUCUUUAUUCACAUGAAUGAGAGGAAUAGAAACAUCUCUUCAUAAAAUCACCGCAAGUCUAUUUUUUUUUUUACAAUGUUGUGACUAAGUAUAACUUUAUUUGGUUAUGUUACCAGAUUGCAGAUGUAGAGAGUCUCACAUUUAAGAGAGAAGUUAUUUUGUCAUAUAUGAGUGAGUAUGUGGUAAGAAUAAUAUAAGUGAGAUGACUCAUACAUAAUGCUUUAAGGUUUUAACUGAACAUGUGGUGUGUUCGUCUCACUUUUAUGGUUUCUAUUAAUGUAAUGUGAUUGUUCAACUCAGUUUAUGUUCCCCUGAAAGUCACAACAUUAUGAUAAACUAUUUUAUUUGUUUUAGAUGCCUGUUGUUUAAAUUUUUUUAUCUAUUUUUUUAGUCAAUCUUUAUUAUUUUAUAAAUUAUAAAAUUGUAGACGCGUAAUACUGAGUUGACAAAUUAAAUGUUGAAUGCUAACAACAUUCACUUUUGCACACUCUCUUUAGCACUCACUAUUUUAUUGGAUGAAAUCAAUGUAUAUCCCACCACUUUAUGCGAGUUCUAUUUCCAAAGUGUAGAUCCGCAAUGAUUUAAACCAAUAAGAAAGUGAGUAUUAGAGAGAGUGUUCAAAAGAGGGUGGUGCUAGCACUACUCUAUUAGACAUUUUAAGCGCAGAUGUGGUGUUAGUCUUACUUGUAUGAUUGCUAUUAUCAUAAUGUGAUAUUUCGACCAAUUCUAGGCUUCCUUUGUAGACUCAACAUUAUGAUGAACUAUUUUGUCGAUUUUUGAAUGUUAUUUGCUAUUUUUUGAAGAGUUAAUUAGCUAAAAGGUCUCUAUAAAUAUCAAGAAUUUCUUUGUACCAAAAAAAAAUUGAAGAAUUUCAUUUUUAAUACCUACAAAAAUAAAUCGCACAUCUUGGCCCUUGUAAAAUUAUUAUGUCAGCAUUUUUAAUCACUGUAAAAUUUUUCGUCAACAAUUUGGCCCAUAAAAUGUUCAAAGGAAAAUGUUACAACGAUUAAAAAUGUGACUUAUUUCUAUGGACUAAAAACAAAAAAAAAUCUUAUUUAUAUUGAAUAUUUAUUUAAUUAACCUUUUUUCUGUAAAACUUUGUUGUCAGAUGUCAUUAGCUUUCAUUGUAUUUUUGUAUUCAACCUCCAUUAUUUUAAAUUCUUUCACUUCUAGUUUUUGGGGGAUGUGACAAUGGAAAAUCUAGAUGAGUUAUGAUGAGUUUACAAAAUACAUGUUUAUUAGACUUUUUAAAAUGAUGUGAUGUUUUUUUAAUGAAGUCAUACUCUUUGGUAAUACGAACCCAAAAAUAUUCAACUUCUUCAACAAAACCAUAUAAUUACCGGUAACUCAAACUAUUAUAUACUAUCACCGAUGAAACACACAGUACAUAUUUUUCUCUUAUUAUUUCUCUCAUGUCCAAAUUAUUUUUUUAUCUUAUUUCCUUUUCUAACUUCUCAUGAAAUAAAAGAACGUAAACCCCCAUGCAUUAAAUCACCAUCAACCAAUUUUUUUUUUAUUUUUUUUUUUUACCAUCAAAUGACUUCAUCUGAUUUUAUUUGGCUAUGUUACAAAAUCACCGAUGCGAAGAGUCUAACACGUAAAGGAAGAGAUGUUAAUAUGUGUUAUAUUAGUUAAAGUUUCAUAUUGCAUGCAAUAUUAGAAAGUGGAAAACAUAAAGUGAGGUUGCCCUUGUAUUUAAUGCCUUUAGAAUUUGCAUGAAGGUGUGAUGUUAAUCUCAGUUGUGCAGUUUCUCUUAGUAUAAUAUGAUUAUCCAACUCAAUUUAGGCUCAUGUGGAAGUCUUGUCAUUAUGACGAAUUGUUUUCUUCAUUUUUAGAUGUCAUUCGCUUAAUCCUUACUUUCUCAUGAAAGAAAGGGGAAAAAAAACUCCUUGUAUGAAACCACCACAAUCCCAUAGUUUUUAGCAUGGUGUGCAUCCUUCUAGCUUUAUUUGGUUAUGUCUCUCUAUUAUAGUUGCAGAGAGUAUCACACUUAAGGGAGAUAUGUUAAUAUGUCAAGUGUGAGUUAAAGUUCUAACUUGAAUGCAAAAGUAUAUGUUGAACAAAAUAUAAAUGAGAUGACUGAUAUAUCUGAUGACUUAAGGUUUUGAGUCAAUAUGUAGUGUCAUUUUUUCAAUUGUUUAAAAAAAUCCAUAAAAUUACCAACAAUUCUUGCAAAAAUUUUACAAGUGAUGUCAAUCACCAAGCAUAAUUAAACUAUUAAUUUCUUCAAGUAAAAAAUCAAGAUGAAAUAUGUUUCAGGUAUAAGGAAUAUUUCAUUUGUCAUGAUUAAUUUGAAAUAAAAAUCUAUUUUUUUUUCAUUGUAAUUUUUCAACUCUAAGGAUUUAGUCUAGUAGUAAAAGAACAAACUUUGAUUUAAAUAUUCUGAGUUUCGAGCUCUGUUGGUAUCCUUGAAGAUAUAUAGAUGUAAGUAUAUUUGUGAGAGCUCUUUUAUCUCUAAGGUCUUCCAUAUAUUGCACAAAAUCAUCACUCUUUUAUCUCUAACAUAUUUUCAUCACUCAUUAAUUAUCCAAAAUUUUUUAAAAAAAUAAAAAAAAACCAUAAAAUUAACAUCAACUUCUAGAAAAUGUGUUUGAUCAAACAAUUGCAAUUAGCAAGAACAAUUAAAUCAAUAGCUUCUUUCAAUAAAAAAAUCAAGAUAAGAGAUGAUUCGGGUAUAAGGAAUAUGUCAUUUUUUCUCCCCGAUGACAAUGAUUAACAAGAGCAAUUAAAUCAAUAACUUCUUUUAGUAGACGAUUAUUACCAAGAACAAUUAAAUCAUAAAUUUCUUUUAGUAAAAAGAUCAAGGUGAAAAUGAUCUCGGUAUAAGGAAUAUGUAAUUUCUUGUACCUGAUGCCAAUUUAGGUAGGGUAGUAAGAUUUAAAAAAAAAAUUAUUUGUCAUGAUUAAUUUAAAAUAAAAACCCAUUUUAUAAUUUUUUUUUCUAUUUUCAAACUCUAAGAGUUUAGUCUAGCAGUAAAAGGACAAACUUUGGAUUUAUAGGUUAUAUAUUUUGACCCUUGUUAAUAUCCCUGAAGAUAAGUAGAUAUAAAUAUAUUUGUGAGUGCUCUUCCAUAUCUAAGAUAUUCCCCACCUUGUACAGAAACAAUAUUCCCUCACCAUACAAUUUUUUACCGAAAAAAUUCAUUGUGAUUUUUGUAUUUUAAUAACGGCAUUAAAUGUCAAAUCUCAAGAAUCAUUAUGAUCAAAUGAUCAUUAAAUAAUUACCCAGUGUACAUUUUUCUGUAUAGAAUUAGGCAUAUAUGUAUUAAAUAGCUUUUUUGUACCUAAAAAAAAUAAAAAUCGAGACAAACUUUAUAUAAAAUUAGUAAAAUUCAUUGGAUCACACUACUAGAAAAAGCAAAAUUAGCGAGGGAAAUUAAUGACGGAAAAAUGAAAUUCCUCACAAAUUUCUUGGUCGCAAAAAUUAGUGACGGAAUUAGAGAGGGAUUUUACGUUUUCCCUCACUAAAUUUUCCUCACUAAUUUUGUUUUUUUAGUAGUGUCAUUGCUCAAAUUUACUUAUGGCCAUCACUCAAUUCUCUUUCAAAAUAUUUAUACCUAUUUCGAUAAUCAUAUGAUUUUCCCAUGUUUUUGAAUAAUCAUUUUUCUUUUAGAAUAUCUCAAAAGUGAAACUUUUAUUUUGGAAUAAAAAUUUGAGGCUUUUCAACGACUACUAUAGAAAUUUUAAAUUUAAACAAAACCUUUUUUAAAAUCAAACAUAAUGCACAUGUUUGAACUUUAUUUUGCAUAACGGACAUGAUAUAUAAAAAGAAUAUAGUGUACACGAAACAGAAAAAUUGCACUACUAUUAAAUCAAGACUGCAUUUUUGUCCAUCAUUUAAAGUUUAUUUAUCAUUGUAUCCAUGAUUGGUCAUUUUUAUUGAAAUUUCGUGUGGAACACAUUCGUAAAGUUUAACAUCUGCCUUUGCGUAAAGUUUAACAUUCGUAUCGGAUCACAUUUUGAAUUAAUUUUUUAAAAUCAAACUAAACCGCAUACAUAUAAUUUAGUCUUUAUUUAUUUAUUUUUUUACAAAAAUUAAUCUUUAUUUACUUUUCAUUAGUAUAAUAUAUUGAAUUUAUCUAUCAUUCCUUAGAUUUUAAUUUUGUUAAUACUACUUAUACUUAUUAGUUUUUUUUUGCAUUUCAUACGUUUCGAACUCACACAGUUUCCUUAAAAAGGAAACACAUUUUCUUGUUUUAAUUUUUUUAAUAACAAUACAAUUAUUAUUAUUUAUUUAGUUGGGAUGAAGAGGAAGAUUCUGAAAAAAUAAUUGUCUAUAUAUAGCGAAAAAAUCUUACAUUAAUUAUGUCAUAUGACAUUUAAGGACGAAUGAAGUAAUCUAUAAUCAUUGAUUGAUAUUCAAGUUAAAGGUUAAAAUGUAGAGUUUGUACAAAAAGUUACUCAUGGACUUGAUAUAUUCAUCUUCUUAAAAAUAUUUGUAUAUAUCCAUGCCUAAUCAAAAUGAUGGUUUGUCACUUUUUAACAUCACGGACAAACAAAAACCUAAUAAUGCGCGAACUAACAAAUUUACAUAAUAAUAUUAGAAAUAAAAAAAAAUUGUAUUAAGAGCAAUGGAAAUUAAUUAGAGGAUUAUGUAAAAAAAUGACAAAUCAUAAUGACAGUAUAAUUGCAAAUUAAUUACUAUAAUAAUUUGAUAACUGAAGUGUGCGUUGUAAAAUAAAUGAAAUUUUAAUGAUUAGAAAAGUCAUUAGCCAUUAAUAUAAUUGUAGGAAAACUCUUAAUCGUGUAUAAUAAUUGAUAGAUAAAUUGAAAUAUUGAUAGAAAAAUAGUGUUUUUUUACAUUGAAAACGGUUGUUUGAAUUUGAAUAUUAAUUUUGUUAUUUUUCGUCACUUUCUAUUUUAAUUUUAUGUAUGAUUUCAAAUAAUUAAAUUGAUCAUUUUUUCCUUUUAAAAAAAAUGAUCAUUUUUGUUUAAUGUAUGGAGUAGAAUAAGAAUUAUUUAAAUGACGGGAUUGAAUUUGAAACUUUAGAAAGUAUGUUCACCAUUUCAUACCCACAAAUUAAGCAACUUUGAAAAAACAUUAAACAUAUAUGAGUAGAAGAAGAAUGAUUCACGACAUUAAUGAUUUAUAAAAUAUAAUAGAAAAUAUAUCAUGUACUUCUUCAAAAAAGAAAAUAUAUCAUGUAUUUUUUUUAUCAUUUCUACUUCAAAGUCAUCCAUUCAACCAAUUUUGUGAAAAUGUGAAUCUUUUUUUUUUUCUUGUCUAUCGACUGAUUAUAAAGUUAAAAAAAUAAAAGAAAAAUAUAAUAUAAUUGACAAAAGAAAAUAUAAAAGAUCAAAAUAUUAAAAAUAAAACAGCAACAUAAGAAAUGUUAACCAAAGAAUAAUAUAUAGAUAGAAAAAGUUGAAAUUGAGAGAUUAAAAUAAAAGAAAAGGGGGGAUGAAGUUGUUAGAUUUAAACUUGGUAAUAAAAAUCCUUCGUAUAUAUUCUAAUUGAUACGUGAUGCAUUUCUUCUUUUCUCUUAAUUGACUUCCAUAUUCAAACUAAAGAUCUAGUAAAAAACAAAGAACAUAUAAUCACGAAAAGAAAAUUUAAAAGAGAAUAUGAUUAAGAAAACAACAACAUAAGAAAUCCCAAUAAAAAAUAACCUAAGAAUAAGAAAUGUUAAACAAACAACAAAACAUUAAAAAAAUAAGAAAUAAAAAAAUAAAAGAAAUGAGGACGGGGUUGAAAUCAAUGAGUUUUUGUGGGAGGAAGAGAUAGAUGAAAAUAAUGAAAAACAAAUUGUCUAUAUAUAGAAAAAAAAAAUCAUAUCAUGAUCCAUUUUGAUUGGCUCAAGAAAAACAAAUGAGUCAUGAUCCUCUUUUGAUUGGUUGAUAUAAAAUAAAUGUGUCAUAAUCCAUUUUGAUUGGAUGAUAAGAAAACAUUAAAUGAGAUGGAGAAUAUAAGCUUGCCACGUGUACUUUAAAAAAAAAUAGCGCAAAUAUAUAUAAUAAAGAUAAAGAUGUUUAAUUAGUUAAGUAGUAAGUUUUUAAUUAAGUGGUAAGAGACACUAGAUCCUAGACCCAUUAUGAGAUGAGUUAACCUAACCCAUUAGUUGGAGUAUAUAAGGAUAACACCGGUGAAAAUUAGGGUUCAACUUUUUAUUUCAUAUAUUCACAUAAAAGGGUGGCUAGAGAAAAAUAGAGAAUUGAGACAAAAGAAAAGAUAGAAGAAAAAGGAAGAACAAAGUGAAGAAAAGAAGAGCAAAGCUGGAAUUCAAGAGGGGAGUGAAGAUUUGGUGAAGUGACUUAAGCUUAAGGAUGAUUUAGGUAAGGGGAUAGGUUUCUUCUUUCAUAAUAAGUUAUAAUAAUGUUAUUAGCUUUUAGGACAUUUUCUUUUAAUUGAUUUGUGAAAUUGAUGAUUAUGUGUGAUGAAAUUCGUGCUUAUAAUUGAUUGGUAAUUAUGAGUAUGUUGAAAUUUGUGGAAUUAAGUUGUUUGGGUGUUCAAACUCAUGAUUGGUGUUUUGAAAUUAGUUGUUUUGAGAUUUUUACUGAAUUGUGUGAAACCAUGAAUUUGUUGAUGAUUAUUGUUCAAACAUGUUUUAAAUCACUUGUUGAAUAAUUGGGUAUGUUUGUAUGUUGAUGUGUUAUGAAUUAUUGGUGUUGAUUGUGAGGUUUGGAUUAAUUUGUGAUGUUUUGGCGAAAAAUGUUAAUGAUUUUGAAAACUUGGUGAAAUGAUGUUAUGAACCCAUGAUUAAUGUGUUUUGAUUUUUCCUUUUAUCUGUAUUAUUUGUUGGUGAAGUUUGCACAACAAUUUUAGGUCAAUUGGGGUCAAAAUUGGGAUUUUUGGGGAGUUUUUUUGUGAGUUCCCCGAAAGAGAACCCAUUUCUGAGUUCCCCUGUUUUGUGCAGUUUGCUAACUCGUUCCCGAUUAUUUUGUUGGUGUAAGCCCUAUAGCCAAUAAUUUAUGUUAAACCUAUGAUAUGUAUCAUGACUUUUAUUAUUAAAUAAUAGGCUAAAAUAUGGUUUUGCUCCCUGCAAAUAUGUCUCGUUUUGGUUUUAGUCCCUGUAAAAAAAAAUUGUUGUUUUUGGUCCCUGCAAAAUAUUUUGUUUUUGGAAAUAGUCCCUGCAGAGACUAUUUCCAUAUUUUGUUUUUGGAAAUAGUCCCUGCAGGGACUAUUUCCAAAAACAAAAUAUUUUGCAGGGACCUUUUUCAAAAUCAAAAGAUUUUGCAGGGACUAUUUCUCUAAUAAAUGGUUCAGUCAUCAUGUGACACGUGUGCAAAUUAUCACAAAAGUGNNNNNNNNNNNNNNNNNNNNNNNNNNNNNNNNNNNNNNNNNNNNNNNNNNNNNNNNNNNNNNNNNNNNNNNNNNNNNNNNNNNNNNNNNNNNNNNNNNNNACAAAAUAUUUUGCAGGGACCUUUUUCAAAAUCAAAAGAUUUUGCAGGGACUAUUUCUCUAAUAAAUGGUUCAGUCAUCAUGUGACACGUGUGCAAAUUAUCACAAAAGUGGAGCCAGGGACCAAAACCAAAAAGAGACAUAUUUGCAGGGACCAAAAACAACAAAAAAAAUUUGCAGGGACUAAAACCAAAACGAGGCAUAUUUGCAGGGACCAAAACCAUAUUUUAGCCUAAAUAAUAUAUGAUACUCUUUAUUAUACUUGUUGUAAUAUUAAUAAAGUCCCAAUAAUAGAUAGUUCGUGUAAUGGUAUAUUAAUUGUGACUUAAUCAUGAGAUUACAUUAAUAUAAAGAACACUAUUCUUAAAUGUAUCCAUAGUCGAGCUUUAAUAUAAAUUGGAAUAAUAAUAAAGCGCAAAGACUAUUAUAUAUGUAGACUGAUGACCACAACUUAUUUAUCAUGGAUAUGCGAUAUUAAGUUUAUACAUAGCUAUAAACAUUACGAGUAAUAUUUAUACUGGAAUGACCCACCAUGAGAAUACUAAAUAGUAUGUUAUGAAAAUGUCAUAAGAUAUUUUCACAAUGAUAAUGGUGUAUAUCACUCUUAGACCUGAAACGACUAUGAUGCCUAGAUAUGGACUCAAGUGUUUUAUUGUCAUUCUAACAUUGUUUGUAAAAGGAUAACCAUAACGUUGGCUAAUGGAUAAUUGAUGAAUCAUGCAGAGGGACAUGAGUGUCCUAUACUAGAUUUGUCCCUCCUCAUAACAUGAGAUAUAUCUUUAGGCCUCUUGAUGAGAUAUAACUAUAAAGUUGCAUGGCCAUGCCGAACUAAGUCAAUAUGAGAUAUUAGACUUAUUCGUUAUUCAGUAUAUUUUGGGAUCAAGAAAUAUAAAGGCUAAAAUAUGGUUUUAGUCCCUGCAUAUAUGCCUCGUUUUGGUUUUAGUCCCUGUAAAAAAAAAAAUUGUUUAUGGUCCCUGCAAAUUUUUUUUGUUUUUUAAAAUAGUCCCUGACCCCAUUUUUGUGAUGAUUUGCAUACGUGGCACAUGAUGACUGAACCUAUUUUGUAGUUUUUGGUCCCUGCAAAAUAUUUUGUUUUUUAAAAAGGUCCCUGCAAAAAUUUUUGUUUUUGAAAAUAGUCCUUGGAGGGAUUAUUUUCAAAAACAAAAAAUUUUACAAGGAUCAAAAACAAUUUUUUUUUACAGGGACUAAAGCCAAAACGAGGCAUAUUUGCAAGGACUAAAACCAUAUUUUAGCCAAAUAUAAAUAUUGACCUAUACAAGGGUGACAAAAUCUAUGCCUUGUGAUCAAUAUAGAUAUGAGGACAAAAGAGUAAUUGAACACAUGAAUGUUAUGAUGGAAAAGGUUUUGUCAGAUCACUUAACAUUCUUGUCACUUGGAUAGCAAUGAUGUAUUGCUAGAUACCGCUCAUUGUUUAUAAUUUUAAAUAUUAGAUUUAAUAUUAUUUCCAACGUGACUAGAACAUAUGGGGUCACACACAAGAGAACAGUCAAAAGAGAAAUAUAAAUAAGACUUAUAUGAUGGGUGCGUUUAGAAAUUAACACUAAUUAGUUAGCAAAAGACUAAACUCAUUAAUGGGCUUACGGAAGUCCAAUAAUGACUUCUGACUUGCAAAACAUAAUAGGAGUUUGUUAUCUCGAUUUUGGGGUAUCAAGUCAUUAAUUAGGCUUGAACAUUUCAAUCUUUGAUAUUCUCUAUUUUUUUUUGGGAAGGGUAAAAUUGAGAAAACCCUUAGAAACUCUAAGUUUGGGGGUCGUUUUCGUUACGGGAAGGUGUUAAGCACCCGUAACGACUAUAAUAUUCUAUAGGAACAGAUUUCCUAGCUUUAUGUCUACGCUUUACUUUUAUGCUUAUUUAUUGAAAAAGAGAGUUUAUUUAGGUUAAGGAUUUGGAAAGAAAGUGUAUGAGAUUUCAUUUUANNNNNNNNNNNNNNNNNNNNNNNNNNNNNNNNNNNNNNNNNNNNNNNNNNNNNNNNNNNNNNNNNNNNNNNNNNNNNNNNNNNNNNNNNNNNNNNNNNNNGAAAUUUGGACAGGAAAAGACUAAAAUGCCCCUAGGGACUAAACUGACUCAGACAGACUCAGACGCAAUUUUGAAAUGGUUUUUAAACAAAGACUCAACAGUGAUUUGUAAAACAAGUUGAAAAGACUCAGAGACAAACACAGGGACAAAAAUGGGUUCCACUGCAGGAAAUGACCAAAAUACCCUUUUUGUAUGAUUUUUAAAAUAACAUGCAAGAAAAAGCAAUGCAAUGAUUCAGAGAGUUUUCAAAUGACUUGUAAUGUAAGAAAGACACUUUGGAUGAUCUUAUGCAAGAAAAACACAGGCAAAAUCAUGAUUUGCAAAUACCUUGAGACAGAGAAAGUAAAAUAUACAGAUGAAAAUAAAGUGAAGAUUCAAAGUAAAACAAUAGUAAAUUGACAAUUAUCAGUGGUAGAAAAGAAAUUUGAACGAGUAUUUUUAGGUCCAAAAUCAGGGUAUAACAGAAUUCUAUAAAUAGAACACUUGUGUUGAAGUCUUUGUUACACCUUUUAGAAACCCUAAUUCCCCCAAAUCUCUAAUCGCUUGGCUAGCACCGGAAACUAGAGGAGCACCGUUCAUGUGGAUUAGUAGAGGCUCUGUUGUUUGCUUUGCUUUGUGAUUGAUAUUUUUCCUGCACUUCGAGGUAACAUUCAUUCACUAAUUCAUGUCAAAUUCAUAAUGAUCCAAGGAAUGAAAAUCGAAAAUUUUAUUUCGCUGCCUGUUUAUACAUAAAUCUGAAUCAUUUACAAUAUUCAAGGAAUUUCAAAGUGAAGUAGAAAACCAACUAGGAAAGAAAAUAAAAAUGAUUCGAUUUGAUCGAGGUAGAGAGUAUUUGAGCUUAGAGUUUGACAAUCAUCUAAAAGAGGGUUGGAUCUUAUCCCAACUCACACUUUCUGGAACGCCACAAUGGAAUGGUGUUUCCGAUAGGAGAAAUCGAACCUUGUUGGACAUGGUCCGAUCAAUGAUGAAUCAUGCUAAUCUUCCAAACUCCUUGUGGGGACACGCCUUAUUAAGUGCAGCUUAUACACUUAUUCGAGUUCAAUCUAAAGCGGUAGAAAAAACAUCGUAUGAGAUAUGGAAUGGUCGAAAAUCCAACAUGAGACAUUUAAAGAUUUGGAGUUGUGAAGCUUAUGUAAAACGACAAAUAUAACGACAAAUAUCUCAAAACCCUAGCAUAGCAUUUUUUUCAAUAUUUCUCUCUUCUUGUGUUUCUUCCAAUGCUUUGGAGUAGUUAAGUGAUAUGCAGUUUGAUAAUGUCAACUUUGAGACGGAUUCUAAAACCAUUCAUGAUGCCUUCUACUCUCGCAAAUAAGACGUUUCCGAAUUUGGACAUAUAAUUUUGGCUUGUCAAUCUCUCUUUACUACCCACUUCACAAACUCUCGAUUUGAGUUUAUGAGGCGACAAACAAAUGAGGUUGCUCAUACGCGUGGUAUUAAAAAUAUCAUUUUUAAUAAAAUGCUAUAAGCAUGUUUCCUACAAAAAAAAUUGUCAAGUUAGUUUCUUCUUCUUACCAAGACUUGAACCCUGGUCCUCCAACUCCAUAACUUUUUGCUCAAACCAGCGGACCUAGCCGACCUCACAUAUCUUCUUAUUCUAUAAGCUUAUAAGGUUAAGCUAAUGCUUAACCCUAAUCCAAAGCUAAAUUUCCCUCAUAAGCUUCUUAAACCUAGCUUCUUUAGCAAGCCUUACAUGUGUAAUUAAUGUUAUUUUAUUUCAAAUUUAAAAAACAACUUUUCUCUCCUACUACUUUGCUUAAUUCCAACGCCAUGUAAGCCUUGGUUCUAUCAACAUUUAAAACUAAUCAUAUUUCCAAUGACUCGUUACAUACACCCUCCGAUCACUAAUAUAAGCAAAAAUACAUUUUUUAGAUACAUUCAAUUAAUAAUGUAUGUGAUAUUUAUUAUAUGUCACAUACAUCAUUAAUUGAAUGUAUCUAAAAAGUAGAUUUUUGCUUAUAUUGGUGACCGGCGGGUGUAAAGCCCAAGGAAGCUCAUGAUGCCUAUCUUCAACAUAUUAAAUCUAUUGUUUUUAGAAUUUUUCAUUUGAAAAUAUGAACAUCACAACUACUUAUUUCACCAUUGGUCGUCAAACUCAGCAAAUAAUCAGAGUUCCAAAGGUUUGGUCGUGGCCAUAUGGGUUAUGAGAUUCAAUGUUCCAUUGCUUAUAAAUUAAAUUAUUUGGUGACUCGAUUUUUAUACCUAGAUUAUUUCUGCCAACUUCUGAUGUAAGAAUUCCUUUAAUGAUAUGAUUAAUGUGAAUCUAUGUUUAUGAUAUGACUUAUACGAGAGCUAUUUUUUUUUUUUAAUAAUAUUUUGUUCUUGACAAGUAUUAUGGAAAGAAGAAUAGGUGCCUCUUUAGUCGGCAAGACCCGUGCUACGCCCGGUGGUAUGGUUAGUUCUAUCAUAUGGAAAAUUCUAUGGUACAUCAACAUUUUGUGUGUACCGGUACACCAAAUAUUAAAUUAAUAAUUAAAUUGAUCGUUUUUUGAAGAAAAAAUAACUAUUUUCUAUCAUUGACAAUUAUAAUAAUUAAAUCUUAUUUACCAAAAGAGUCGAUGAAAUAAAAUUUACUUUUUUUGAAUUUUUAUUGCUCAUAACGAAGAAUAUUGAUUAUUUUUUAUGAGAAAAUGUUAAAAAUUUAAUAUAAUUCAUAUAAACAAUGAAAUAAUGUUUUUUUACUCAUAAGAUGGUGUUUUCUAAAAUAUAAAUAAUGACAAAUAACAACUUAUUUUAUAAAAUGAUCAUUAAUUUAUAAAUUUAUGAAGCAGAGUAUCGGUACACCUCAAUUUAUGAGGUGUACCGUAGAAACUACCCUAUCAUAUAGUUAUAUCCAUCCUUUAGGAUCAUAUAUUAGGUCAAAUUGUAUUCUCUCUCAAUCAAUGCAUCAUUCCAAUUCAUUUCAUCACUAGUAAGUAUUACGUCCUUUACUAGGACGUUUAUCCGUGCUAACGUCCGGGACAUUAAAAAUGAAAAACCUAAAAAAGUUCCAAUAUUAUUCAUUUACAUAAAAAAUAAAAUAAAUAAACAUAAAAAGUAUUUAAGGGCAUACAAAAUAUUGGGUCGCACAUUUUUGAAUAUUUCCUUAUAAACUACAUUUGAAGUGGUGCUGAUACAAUCCCCAUUGUCAUCUGUUAAUAAUAUCUUCAUACCAUCCCUUGAUGUAACACGUGAUAUUGCAAUAUAUAGCUGCCCAUGUGAGAAGACCAAUUGUGGAAGAUAGAUGCUAACUUGCUUAAGUGAUUGUCCCUGACUUUUGUUUAUAGUCAUUGUAAAACACAAAGCUAUAGGAAAUUGUCUGCGUUGAAAUUUGAAAGGAAUUUUGGUAUCAGAUUGUGUCAAUGACAAUCUCGGUAUGUAGACCUUCUCUCCAACAUUGCUUCAUGAUAUUACCCUCCCUUCAAUAACAUAUCUUCCCAUCUUAGUGACUAUUAGUCGAGUACCAUUACACAAACAUGCUGUUAUGUCCAAAUUUCUCAACAACAUAAUAGGAACUCCAACUUUCAAAGUAAUCUUGUGAUUAGGAAGACCCGAUGAAUUGAUUGUGUUCAAGAAUUCCGGUGUGUGAAUAUCAUCUGGUCUAUUGACUGAUGCGGUAUCUGCUAUUAUAAGAAUCACAACUCAAAUAUGUCAUUUCUUCACCGGGAAUGAGAGACAGAACAUAGUCAUUAACUCAAAUAUGUCCUUUCUGACUUUGUUUCAUGAUAGUUUCUUUUCCAUAAAUAGAAGUGGUUAAAAUUUUAUCUGUAACACCAUAAAAAUGAUCAACGAUGCCUCUUCAUAGAGGCAACCAAAGAGGGAAAAUGGGACAUAGAAUGAACAUGAUAGGAUACAUCCAUUUCAGGCGUGGUUGCUAGCCUAUUGCACUAUAAAUAAAUAUAUGCCAAAAAACAAAAAGAACACCAGAGCAUAACAUAUAUUUAUAAUCAGUUGUGAAACAUAUAUGUCACUUAUAUAUAUAAUGGUAAAAGAACUUUCAUUAUUCACUAAGAUAAGAAGUGGAAUAUAAAGAAACACACUGCCAUCAUUCCAGUUUCAAAUCUAAGUAAUAUAACCAAGACGACAACACAACAUUCAAUUGGAUAACUAAUUAAGCAAUGAUAACAAAGAAAAAACAUUGGCUUUAAAUGAGAAUUAUGCAAUUCUCAUUGAUAAUGACUAAAAAAGGACUAAAUUUGUUCUCCAUGCUGAAUGAAAGAGUAACAGUGCCUCACUGAUAACAACUAAUGUAGUGUCUCACUAAAUUUGUUCUUCAUUUUUUGUGUUUCUGCUAUAUAGUUAUCAUUUAUUUGGUGAAAAGAAAUCCGAAGUUGCACAUGAGGAACCAAUCCAACAUUGCCAUAAGCUUACUUCCAUAUUCACAUGUGUUCUAUGAAGGCAUUUAACUCAACUUGUGGUAGCUAAUGCAUAGAAGCCAAUCCAUUCAUCUCUGUCAUAUUGCUUUAAUCCCAAGGCAGAGAUUCUAGUCUAGUAUAUCAAUUAUGUAUUCAAAGUAAUCAUGUUAUAUAUAAUAUAUGGAGAUAUCCAAAGUAGAAGAGCAUAAAGAGAGAUGAGGUUAUAAGUUUGUCCCAAAUAAAGAAAUUAAAUUACAUAUCGGAUUUGAUUAUAAAUAUACUUAAGAACAUGUAAGUAGUAGAAGAACAUUUAUAAUCAAACAGAAAGAUGAGGUUAGUUUUUCUUGAGCACAUUGAUGGAGAUAUUCCAUCAAUUCUUUUUUGAUGGAGAAAUUAAACUACAUACCAGAUUUGAUUAUAAAUGUGCUUAAGAAAAUUUCAAGAGCUGCGGCGACGACAGGAGAGAGCUGCGGCGACGGAGAGAGCGGCAACGACAGAGAAUUUUGUUUGAAUGUCUGAAAGUGAGGUGGAAGAUGAACAACUCAAAGGGGGAAGAGAUUUUUUUGAGUAAAAGCAAUAUAAAUUCCAUCCUUUAGGAUCAUAUAUUAGGUCAACUUGUAUUCUCUCUCAAUCAAUGCAUCAUUCCAAUUCAUUUCAUCACUUACGUCCUUUAUUACCAAUAAAGCUAUACAAAUUACAUAUCCCCAUUCCCUAUCCUCUUCAAGUAAUAGAAAUUGAGGUUAGAACAAAUACUGUUCACAACAAUUAAAAGAAAACCUGACAAUCUACCGAGGAAAAAAAGUACUUGAAGGCAUUCCAUUGCUAGAGAAUAGGGCAGAACUAUCAUUGUAGGAUCUACCUUGCAGGAAAAAUGCAGGUUGUUGUGGAGUUCGUAACUCAAUUGAAUGACUGCUAAGAUAAGAAGCAAUUGUCAAGAUUGAAGGUCUAGCCUCUGGGUCAUUUUGAACACAUAAUAGACCAAUCUGAAUGCACUUAAUGACUUCAGUUUUAGAAUAAUCUCCUUUAAUAUUUGGGUCCAAUAUAUUUAAAGGUGUUUUAUCCAUCCACUGUCUCCAUACCUGAAAAUAUAUACCAUUUGGUCUAAGCUAUGAGAUUAUUAGGCCAAACGAGCUUUAAAUCCAAAAUUGGAUCGAAAAGUAUGUAAAGUCUGAUCAAAGAUUAUUUCAACUAAGAAGUAAUGAAAAGAUACUAUUGCUAUAUCAUUACACUCACAGAAUUCAAGAG
rnacentral:lncRNA from 1 species